GUUUAAAUAGUUUAAAUAAAAUAUUGAUUUGUGGUGUCAAUGAUGAAAGAUUUUUUUCUUUAAACC
rnacentral:tRNA from 1 species